rnacentral:RNase_P_RNA from 1 species
UCAGGCGGUCGGACGGUCGCGGGGGCUUCGGUCCCUGAGGAAAGUCCGGGCUCCAUGGAGACAAGGCGCCGGGUAACGCCCGGCCGGGGCCGUCGUUCGCGGCGGUCCUGAGGGAAAGCGCCGCAGAAAACAGACCGCCCUCUGCGGAGGGUAAGGGUGAAAAGGUGCGGUAAGAGCGCACCGCCGGACCAGCAAUGGGACGGGCAUGGCAAGCCCCGCCUGGAGCAAGACCGAAUAGGGACGACGCGCCGCGGGCUUGCUCGCGGCAGGGCGGUCUUCGGCCCGAGUCGUCCGGGUAGGUUGCUUGAGUCCGGCCGCAAGGCCGGUCCCAGAUGGAUGGCCGUCCCCUCGAAUAUGUCCGUUCGCGGGCUUCGCCGAGGGACAGAACCCGGCUUACAUGAUCGCCUGACGCG